AGGAGGAGGAGGAGGAGGAGGAGGAGGAGGAAAUAGAGGAAGAGGAAGAAAUAGAAGAGGAGGAGGAGGAGGAAGGCAUGAUUGUUGUCAUUUUUUCUUUUUUCAUUUUCUCCUCUUCCUUCCUUCUUUCUUUCCAUCUUCUCCUUCCUCCCUUUACCU
rnacentral:miRNA from 1 species